UGAUGCAGCGACGCCGAGUGGGGAUGACGGCCUUCGGGUUGUAAACCCCUUUCAGUAGGGAAGAAGCGAAAGUGACGGUACCUGCAGAAGAAGCGCCGGCUAACUACGUGCCAGCAGCCGCGGUAAUACGUAGGGCGCAAGCGUUGUCCGGAAUUAUUGGGCGUAAAGAGCUUGUAGGUGGCUUGUCGCGUCUGCCGUGAAAACCCGAGGCUCAACCUCGGGCGUGCGGUGGGUACGGGCAGGCUAGAGUGUGGUAGGAGAGACUGGAACUCCUGGUGUAGCGGUGAAAUGCGCAGAUAUCAGGAAGAACACCGAUGGCGAAGGCAGGUCUCUGGGCCAUUACUGACACUGAGAAGCGAAAGUAUGGGUAGCGAACAGGAUUAGAUACCCUGGUAGUCCAUGCCGUAAACGUUGGGCACUAGGUGUGGGGGACAUUCCACGUUUUCCGCGCCGUAGCUAACGCAUUAAGUGCCCCGC
rnacentral:rRNA from 1 species